CCCCGCCAGCACGCCAAGCGUGGAUCUCGCGCAACUCCCAGCGCGCAGCCGCUGAUCCCAUCCCCGCGCUCCCCUCCGCUACCCCAUCCAUCUCGCCUCCUCACCUCAUGCCAUCAGCGCGUCCGCGGCCCUCCGCCCUCGCCCUCGCCCCGUCGUUCUCGCGUCCUCCCUCUCCUGUAAUGGCGCGCGGUGAGGACCACGCAUAUUCGAUUUGGGUCGGGGAAGGUCCGCCUCCGAGCUGUUAAUGGAAGGUUCGUCUACGCGUCGCUCUCUACCGCCCGCCAAUCUCGCGUCUGCGCGCCGCUCUCUUCCGCCCUCCAAUCUCGCUCAACCGCACCCUGCUCAAUUAAACCCUAGCUACGCUUCCUCCAGAUCCCGGCAUCUCGGCUCCAUGGCCAUCCUCGUCCCUCGCUCCAGCCUCAAAUCUCACCCUGUCGAUAUUCGUUUCAGGGAUAGUUGUACUCGUCACGUUCCUGCUCAGGGACAAGCUCAGCUACAUCUUCACCGGCGACAAGGUCGUCUCGUGCACCGUCACUGACCUGUGUCCGCUGCUCGUUGGGACCAUCGUGCUCUUCGGGAUCUAGCCCGUGUUGUCAGGUGGUUUUUCUUUUUCCCUUAUCCAAACUGAAAUUGUGGUGCAUCUUCUCUCCCCUCGCCCCAGAUCGCCGCCCCACUCUCCUCUCUCUCCCGCACACCAAGCGGUCGCAAAUCCCAGCCAGCAGCCACCACCGAUCUCCUCUCUAAUCGCCCCAGAUCGUCGCUCUCCAUGGAGGGCGCGUGGUGGCCGGGCCGCGAAUCUCGAAUACCCCGCGACCGCACCCCAGAUCGUCGCCCCGACUCUCCAUGUAAGGCUCGUCCGCGACAUCCCAAUCUUCGCGGCUCCGUCGUCCAUGGAAGGCGCGACCUCCCCCCAGAUCCACUCUCCUCUCUCACGCAAUCCCUGCUGACGCGACCCAGAUCGCGACCCUCGCUCUCAAUCCUCGCCCACACUCUCCAUGGAUCUGGGUAAUCUGUCCUCGCCCACGGUCCUAUCUGCUCACAUGGAUCUGAUUGAGGUUUCCAUCGACGGGGUAAUCGGUCUUGCUCUCGAUCCUCGCCCACGCUCUCCAGGAUAUCGCCCACGCUCUUCAGAAAACAGUGAAAAGAUAACUGCUUGUUGGUUUCUUUUGAUUUCUCUACUCAUUUUCUCUACAUGUUUUACAAUCCUUCAAAAAUCAUGUUUAUUGCAGCAUCUUAUUGCAUAUCUGUUUUUGCUCUUCUAUGUUUGCUUCCUAUUUUUGAGAAGCAUUUGCUAUUCUCUAUCUUUGAGAUUAUGAAUACUGCCGAAUCCAUAUGCUGGCAAACAAAUUUCUUAACUGUACUCUUUUGUAUAUUCAGGCAAUUGAUCACAUAAAUAAUUCAGCUGCCAAAUCGAGUAUGUUUGUCCAUUCAUUGCCCAUCAUGAAUCCCAGACAAAUAUCGAUCUUGACUCCACGCGCAUGCAUGCACUUUUUAGAGUUUUUCAUUCACUGAACAAAGACAUUUUAGAGUGAAUAAAUGAGGCUCCAUACACUUCAGUUCACUGAAACUGAAUUGCUCUUGUAUACUUCAUUUCAUGCUUUAUUCGAAGAGUAAAGGAAUACUCGGAGCAGACCCGAGAAGGCGACGACCAACAUGUUUUCAAGUUCUCAAGCCUUCUUGAUGACGAGAUUGUGAUAUUCAUGAUAUAACAGCAAGGACUGAUUGCAACAAGACUUGAAGAUCUAGGGAAGAAAGAGGCAAGACUUCAAGAACUGCCACUUCUACAUGAGAUAUCUGGCCGUUUGAUUACAUUAGUUUCAUAGGUGUCCAGAGAGGACCUCAUGGAGUAGUAUGCAUUUUCAAGCUGCACCAAAUUCCUCAUUACCCUCUCCUCAUAAAUGCUCGACUUGUAUGACGCUGGUAACAAACCUGACAACAAUGCACCUUGAAGGGCACUCACAGAAGCUCCUGACAAAGCACUAGAACUUGGUAGUACAUCUGUAUCAUCUAAGCUCAACCUCAUUCUUGCUGAGUGUCUUUUAUCAACCUCUGUGAUAUCUGUUUGUAA